GGCGUGCGCUGCAUGCCGGGAGUCGCGAGUAUAGUCGCGCUGGCUCCGCCCACAACGCGGGUAUGGGGUACUCGCGCUGUCCUGGCGAGUCCCGGGAUUCUUCGGGCGAAGAGGGGCGCCCCCGGCCUGGGUCACCCGGGGCCCGGGGUGCGACGGGCGGAGAGGGGCGGCUGCUGGCCAGGUGAUGUCGAAGCGUUCCCUCCAGCCCCGCGGUCCGCACCACGGCCGACAUUGCCUGUCAGAUCGCUCCUGAGAUUCUUCCGAUCCCCUUCGGUGCGGUGCAGUUGACAUUUCCUACGUGUCGGUGUGGAUUUGGUGUAAUUUUACCUACUCAAACCAUGUUGGACUUCCUGGAAAAGAUUUCACUUUUCCUCGAUUCUGGAAAGUUAUCAGCCACUGUCUCUUAAAAUAUUGGCUCUCCUCCAUUCUUAUAGGUUCUCCUUAUGUAUCUGUCAGGUAAACUGGACGGCCUGUGUCCUCCGUGUCUCUACGAUUUUCUCUCUUUUUGCUCUGUCAUCUUAACUCUUGCUCCCUCUCCGUUGUGCACACUUGAGAAAGCCCAGUCUGGAGGAACCCCACCAUUCUCCAUCAUGAAUGCUGCAGAAACAUCACAGACCUGCGCUGGCUGGCUUCACUUUAAACGUAGACGGAGCACUUCACACUCCUUGGCAAUCUUGUGAUUUUUCUCCAGAGGGGACUUCCCUGGUGGUGCAGUGGUCAAGAAUCGCCCUUCCAAUGCAGGAGACACGGGUUCAAGCCCUGGUCUGGGAAGAUCCCACAUGCCGCGGAGCAACUAAGCCCGUGCGCCACAACUACUGAGCCUGCACUCUAGAGCCCGCGAGCCACAACUGCUGAAGCCCGCUCACCUAGAGCC